rnacentral:rRNA from 1 species
CCUACGGGGGGCACCAGUAGGGAAUAUUGGUCAAUGGGUGCAAGCCUGAACCAGCCAUGCCGCGUGCAGGAAGACGGCCUUCUGGGUUGUAAACUGCUUUUACCAGGGGAUAAAAGGCCCAUGCGUGGGACAUUGAAGGUACCUGGUGAAUAAGCCACGGCUAACUACGUGCCAGCAGCCGCGGUAAUACGUAGGUGGCGAGCGUUGUCCGGAUUUAUUGGGUUUAAAGGGUGCGUAGGCGUCCUGACAAGUUUUAGGUGAAAUGCCCAGGCUCAACCUGGGAGCUGCCUGAAAAACUGUUGGGAUUGAGUACAGACGAGGUAGGCGGAAUUGACGGUGUAGCGGUGAAAUGCAUAGAUAUCGUCAGGAACACCAAUAGCGUAGGCAGCUUACUAGACUGCAACUGACGCUGAGGCACGAAAGUGUGGGGAUCAAACAGGAUUAGAUACCCUCGUAGUC